rnacentral:rRNA from 1 species
AUUGAACGCUGGCGGCAUGCCUUACACAUGCAAGUCGAACGGCAGCACGGGUGCUUGCACCUGGUGGCGAGUGGCGAACGGGUGAGUAAUACAUCGGAACGUACCUUAUCGUGGGGGAUAACGCAGCGAAAGCUGUGCUAAUACCGCAUACGCCCUGAGGGGGAAAGCGGGGGAUCGCAAGACCUCGCGCGAUUAGAGCGGCCGAUGCCUGAUUAGCUUGUUGGUGGGGUAAAAGCCCACCAAGGCGACGAUCAGUAGCUGGUCUGAGAGGACGAUCAGCCACACUGGGACUGAGAAACGGCCCAGACUCCUACGGGAGGCAGCAGUGGGGAAUUUUGGACUAUGGGGGCAACCCUGAUCCAGCAAUGCCGCGUGAGUGAAGAAGGCCUUCGGGUUGUAAAGCUCUUUUGUCAGGGAAGAAGCACCGGCUCUAACACAGUCCGGGAAUGACGGUACCUGAAGAAUAAGCACCGGCUAACUACGUGCCAGCAGCCGCCGUAA